rnacentral:rRNA from 1 species
UAUUCUUGAUAGUAAAUGUAUUGUUUGAUAUGCCUGAAUAUUAUGAAUAAAGAUUUAAAAAUUAAAGAACUUGGCGGUGUUUUAUACUUUUUAGGGGAAUUUGUCUCAUGAUCGAUGGUCCACGUUAGACCUUACUUUAUAUUGUAAACAGUUUGUAUACCGUCGUCGUCAGGUAACUUUUUAGAAUUGUAUAAGUUAGCAAGAGUUAAAUAAAAUAUUUAUGACGUUAGAUCAAGGUGCAGCUUAUAUAAAAGGGAGGAUGAAUUACAUUUAUUUAUUGUAUUGCGGAAAAUAAUGUGAAAGAGUUAUUUGAAGGUGGACUUAAAAGUAAAAAUAUGUUUAUAUAAAUGUUUUGAAUCAAGCUCUGAAAUGUGUACACACCGCCCGUCACCCUCA